AACGAACGCUGGCGGCAGGCCUAACACAUGCCAGUCGAGCGGACCCUUCGGGGUUAGCGGCGGACGGGUGAGUAACGCGUGGGAAUAUGCCCUUCUCUACGGAAUAGUCCUGGGAAACUGGGGGUAAUACCGUAUACGCCCUUUGGGGGAAAGAUUUAUCGGGGAAGGAUUAGCCCGCGUUGGAUUAGGUAGUUGGUGGGGUAAUGGCCUACCAAGCCGACGAUCCAUAGCUGGUUUGAGAGGAUGAUCAGCCACACUGGGACUGAGACACGGCCCAGACUCCUACGGGAGGCAGCAGUGGGGAAUCUUAGACAAUGGGGGAAACCCUGAUCUAGCCAUGCCGCGUGAGUGAUGAAGGCCUUAGGGUUGUAAAGCUCUUUCAGCUGGGAAGAUAAUGACGGUACCAGCAGAAGAAGCCCCGGCUAACUCCGUG
rnacentral:rRNA from 1 species